rnacentral:tRNA from 1 species
GGGCGUGUAGUCUAGCUAGGAUAAGGUGCCGGCUUGCGGAGCCGGUGUUCGCAGGUUCAAAUCCUGCCACGCCCA